rnacentral:rRNA from 1 species
GACAGAGGGUGCAAACGUUUGUUCGGAAUUACUGGGCGUAAAGCGCGUGUAGGCGGUCUGAAUAGUCUGCUGUGAAAGCGCCUGGCUUAACCGGGCGAGGUCGGCGGAAACUCUCAGACUGGAGGCCGGUAGAGGGGGGUGGAAUUCCCGGUGUAGUGGUGAAAUGCGUAGAGAUCGGGAGGAACACCUGUGGCGAAGGCGGCCCCCUGGGCCGCGCCUGACGCUGAGACGCGAAGGCUAGGGGAGCGAACGGG